CAGCCUUUAUCAUUGCCCUUUCUGCAGGACAUUUAAGCCAACCAGACUGGACAAAUUAAAAUUGCAUCUGCAGAGCCAUUCCAGCAAGGCAGUUGUCUAUGAUAGUAUGGGUAUCUUGAGUUGUUUUAUUAAUGUGUUGUAGUAUAGUUAAGUACUUUACUAAUGUAAUGAUUUAUUUGUUGAUGGUAAGGCAAAUCAUGUUUUGCUAUAAAUAAACUAAUGCUUGCCUUCCAAUUUAAUGUAUUGACAGUAUCAGUUUGUUUCUUCUGGGAUCCCUAAACAAUGGCAUUGCUAUCUUUCAUCUUUCAAACUCAUUUUGCCCCAUUUUAAUUAUGAUUUGACUUUUUCUUAAAUUUUGCUGGGUUUUUUUUGUAUGCUCUACACGUUGUGUUGGGAGCCCCCUUUGACUUUACAUCUCAUGACUUUCCAAAAAUCAAGAGAUGGUGGGCACUAAUUCUUUUGGAGAACUUUGGAGUUGUCCCAGAAAAGACAGAAGACACUAGAGCUACAUGAAGAACAAGCUACACCCAGCAGCAGUAAGGAGCUCACUAUAAUCAAACACAUGAAACUGGCUGUAAAAUGGAUACACGCCAAUAGACAUGUGUUCAGGGGCCCUGUGGAAGAGCCUCUUUUCCUCAGAAUGGAAGAGGAUGACAAGGAAAAGGCCCUCCAAAUCUCAUCAAAGAUGUGGAAGACUGCAGAGACCCAUUCACAUUUAAUUUUUCAUUCAGGGAAGACAUGGAGAUUUUUUUAGUUGAAUGCCAUGAAAAAAUGGGAUUAAAAUUGAAUUCUUCUUUUGAAGAGUGAAAAUUAUAAGAC